CCUACGGGGGGCAGCAGUAGGGAAUCUUCGGCAAUGGGGGCAACCCUGACCGAGCAACGCCGCGUGAGUGAAGAAGGUUUUCGGAUCGUAAAGCUCUGUUGUAAGUCAAGAACGGGUGUGAGAGUGGAAAGUUCACACUGUGACGGUAGCUUACCAGAAAGGGACGGCUAACUACGUGCCAGCAGCCGCGGUAAUACGUAGGUCCCGAGCGUUGUCCGGAUUUAUUGGGCGUAAAGCGAGCGCAGGCGGUUUGAUAAGUCUGAAGUUAAAGGCUGUGGCUCAACCAUAGUUCGCUUUGGAAACUGUCAAACUUGAGUGCAGAAGGGGAGAGUGGAAUUCCAUGUGUAGCGGUGAAAUGCGUAGAUAUAUGGAGGAACACCGGUGGCGAAAGCGGCUCUCUGGUCUGUAACUGACGCUGAGGCUCGAAAGCGUGGGGAGCGAACAGGAUUAGAUACCCCAGUAGUC
rnacentral:rRNA from 1 species